ACAGCAGUCGCCGCGGGAAUACGAAGGGGGCUAGCGUUGCUCGGAAUUACUGGGCGUAAAGGGAGCGUAGGCGGACAUUUAAGUCAGGGGUGAAAUCCCAGAGCUCAACUCUGGAACUGCCUUUGAUACUGGGUGUCUUGAGUGUGAUAGAGGUAUGUGGAACUCCGAGUGUAGAGGUGAAAUUCGUAGAUAUUCGGAAGAACACCAGUGGCGAAGGCGACAUACUGGAUCAUUACUGACGCUGAGGCUCGAAAGCGUGGGGAGCAAACAGGAUUAGAUACCCGGGUAGUCCCUGUCUCUUAUAC
rnacentral:rRNA from 1 species